CCUACGGGAGGCAGCAGUGAGGAAUAUUGGUCAAUGGACGAGAGUCUGAACCAGCCAAGUAGCGUGAAGGAUGACUGCCCUAUGGGUUGUAAACUUCUUUUAUAUGGGAAUAAAAUGUUCCACGUGUGGGAUUUUGUAUGUACCAUAUGAAUAAGGAUCGGCUAACUCCGUGCCAGCAGCCGCGGUAAUACGGAGGGUGCAAGCGUUGUCCGGAAUCAUUGGGCGUAAAGAGUUCGUAGGCGGUAUGUUAAGUCUGGUGUUAAAUGCAGAAGCUCAACUUCUGUUCGGCACUGGAUACUGGCAAACUAGAAUGCGGUAGAGGUAAAGGGAAUUCCUGGUGUAGCGGUGAAAUGCUUAGAUAUCAGGAGGAACAUCGGUGGCGUAAGCGCUUUACUGGGCCGUAAUUGACGCUGAGGAACGAAAGCCAGGGUAGCAAAUGGGAUUAGAUACCCUAGUAGUC
rnacentral:rRNA from 1 species